rnacentral:rRNA from 1 species
UACGUAGGGGGCAAGCGUUGUCGGGAUUCAUUGGGGGUAAAGAGCGUGUAGGCGGCCAGGUAGGUCGGUUGUGAAAACUGGAGGCUCAACCUUCAGAGGUCGACCGAAACCAUCUGGCUAGAGUCCGGGAGAGGAGAGUGGAAUUCCUGGUGUAGCGGUGAAAUGCGCAGAUAUCAGGAAGAACACCCGUGGCGAAAGCGGCUCUCUGGAACGGUACUGACGCUGAGACGCGAAAGCGUGGGGAGCGAACAGG